rnacentral:rRNA from 1 species
UAAGGAAUAUUGGACAAUGGUCGCAAGACUGAUCCAGCCAUGCCGCGUGCAGGAAGACGGCCCUAUGGGUUGUAAACUGCUUUUGUACCAGAGAAAACCUAUCUACGCGUAGAUAGCUGAUAGUAUGGUAAGAAUAAGCAUCGGCUAACUUCGUGCCAGCAGCCGCGGUAAGACGAAGGAUGCAAGCGUUAUCCGGAUUCAUUGGGUUUAAAGGGUGCGUAGGCGGGCUUGUAAGUCAGUGGUGAAAUCU